rnacentral:rRNA from 1 species
AUGGAGCUCUUUUGCAGAAACACAUUUGGAAGGGGAGUGGAAAAACAAGCGGAGUUGAUUUCAGUGGCUGAGAUAAUUGUGCACAAGUGCAAGGGAUUGCCUCUUGCUAUCAAGACCAUGGCAACACUACUUUGUUUGAAGCAUCCAACUCAGUGGUUUUCUGUUCUGGAUAGUGAUGUAUGGAAGGAUACAACUACUAGGAUUGCACCUGUACUACAGCUGAGCUAUGAUCACUUGUCAUCAGAAGAGAAAAUAUGUUUUUCCUUCUGUGCUAUUUUCCCCAAGAAUACCGAGCUGGAUAAAGACAUGUUAAUCCAGCUAUGGAUGGUAAAUGACUUAAUUCCAUCAGAAACAAGAGGCCAACAAGUUUUCAAUAUGCUUGUUUGGAGAUGUUUCCUCCAAGAUGUGGAGAUUCAAAAGUGUGUGUUCUCCGAAUGUCCACUUGACAAUCAUCAUUUUAUAUCAAUUGAUACGAUCAUCCACCGACCAACUACUUGCAAGAUGCAUGAUCUCAUGCAUGAUCUGGCUGACUCUGUAAGCGGAAAUGAUUGCUUCAUUCUGCAAGAAUCUUCAUUAUCUCAAGAAAUUCUACAAGGAUCCACAUAUGCUAGUUCAUUACAUCACGAGGUUCGACAUUUGUCAGUUGAUUAUGUCGGUGAUUAUACUAUUGCGGCCAUGGAGGAAAUUCUAGCUCCCCAGCCCCGCACGAUCCUGGGGAGGACUGACACUCCUCUUAGUAUGGCCAAGUCAAAAUUCUUGUCCUUACAAGCAUCGCGGACAUUCCCAACCGAGACAAAUAUGACAUACGUGAAGCAUCUUCACUAUCUGGAUUGUUCUUAUUCUAAUAUAUCUGCACUGCUUGAAGCCACUACCAUGUUGUAUAGCUUGCAAACAUUGAACCUCACUUGUUGUCUAUACCUCGAGAAAUUACCGGAAGGCAUGAGAUAUAUGAGCAGUCUUCGGCACAUCAUCCUUGUUGCGUGUUGUAGUUUGGAUUUCAUGCCACAAGGUAUUGGUCAGCUGAAUUCUCUACAGACAUUGACGAGUUAUGUCGUUCAUCCUAGUGCAGGUCGUGGAAUUGAUCAACUGAAAAUUUUGAAUUUAGGUGAUUGUCUUUCUUUGACUGAGCUGAGAAACGUAUUUAGUCCAGAAGAUGCUAAACAAUGGAAUAUGUCUGCCAAGCAUAAUUUGAAGUGA